rnacentral:rRNA from 1 species
UACGUAGGGUGCAAGCGUUGUCCGGAAUUUAUUGGGCGUAAAGAGCUCGUAGGCGGUUUGUUGCGUCGGCUGUGAAAUCCCGAGGCUCAACCUCGGGUCUGCAGUCGAUACGAGCAAACUAGAGUGUUGCAGGGGAGACUGGAAGUUCCUGGUGUAGCGGUGAAAUGCGCAGAUAUCAGGAGGAACACCGGUGGCGAAGGCGGGUCUCUGGACAUUUCCAUGA